CCUGGCUCAGGACGAACGCUGGCGGCGCGCCUAACACAUGCAAGUCGAACGAGCGAGAGAGAGCUUGCUUUCUCGAGCGAGUGGCGAACGGGUGAGUAACGCGUGAGGAACCUGCCUCAAAGAGGGGGACAACAGUUGGAAACGACUGCUAAUACCGCAUAAGCCCACGGUGCCGCAUGGCACAGAGGGAAAAGGAGUAAUCCGCUUUGAGAUGGCCUCGCGUCCGAUUAGCUAGUUGGUGAGGUAACGGCCCACCAAGGCGACGAUCGGUAGCCGGACUGAGAGGUUGAACGGCCACAUUGGGACUGAGACACGGCCCAGACUCCUACGGGAGGCAGCAGUGGGGAAUAUUGCACAAUGGGGGAAACCCUGAUGCAGCGACGCCGCGUGGAGGAAGAAGGUCUUCGGAUUGUAAACUCCUGUUGUUGGGGAAGAUAAUGACGGUACCCAACAAGGAAGUGACGGCUAACUACGUGCCAGCAGCCGCGGUAAAACGUAGGUCACAAGCGUUGUCCGGAAUUACUGGGUGUAAAGGGAGCGCAGGCGGGAAGACAAGUUGGAAGUGAAAUCUAUGGGCUCAACCCAUAAACUGCUUUCAAAACUGUUUUUCUUGAGUAGUGCAGAGGUAGGCGGAAUUCCCGGUGUAGCGGUGGAAUGCGUAGAUAUCGGGAGGAACACCAGUGGCGAAGGCGGCCUACUGGGCACCAACUGACGCUGAGGCUCGAAAGUGUGGGUAGCAAACAGGAUUAGAUACCCUGGUAGUCCACACCGUAAACGAUGAUUACUAGGUGUUGGAGGAUUGACCCCUUCAGUGCCGCAGUUAACACAAUAAGUAAUCCACCUGGGGAGUACGACCGCAAGGUUGAAACUCAAAGGAAUUGACGGGGGCCCGCACAAGCAGUGGAGUAUGUGGUUUAAUUCGACGCAACGCGAAGAACCUUACCAAGUCUUGACAUCCCUUGACAGACAUAGAAAUAUGUAAUCUCUUCGGAGCAAGGAGACAGGUGGUGCAUGGUUGUCGUCAGCUCGUGUCGUGAGAUGUUGGGUUAAGUCCCGCAACGAGCGCAACCCUUAUGGUCAGUUACUACGCAAGAGGACUCUGGCCAGACUGCCGUUGACAAAACGGAGGAAGGUGGGGAUGACGUCAAAUCAUCAUGCCCUUUAUGACUUGGGCUACACACGUACUACAAUGGCGUUAAACAAAGAGAAGCAAGACCGCGAGGUGGAGCAAAACUCAGAAACAACGUCCCAGUUCGGACUGCAGGCUGCAACUCGCCUGCACGAAGUCGGAAUUGCUAGUAAUCGUGGAUCAGCAUGCCACGGUGAAUACGUUCCCGGGCCUUGUACACACCGCC
rnacentral:rRNA from 1 species